UCAAGAAAUAGUUUAAUUUAAAAUAUUAAUUUUGGAGAUUAAUGAUAGAUUUAUUUCUUUUCUUGAU
rnacentral:tRNA from 1 species